GGUUCCAUGUUGUAAUGGUUAGCACUCUGGACUUUGAAUCCAGCGAUUCGAGUUCAAAUCUCGGUUGAACCU
rnacentral:tRNA from 1 species